UACAGAGGUCCCAAGCGUUGUUCGGAUUCACUGGGCGUAAAGGGUGCGUAGGUGGCCAGGUAAGUUCGGUGUGAAAGCUCGGAGCUUAACUCCGAAAUGGCAUUGAAUACUAUCUGGCUGGAGGGUCGGAGGGGAGACUGGAAUUCUCGGUGUAGCAGUGAAAUGCGUAGAUAUCGAGAGGAACACCAGUGGCGAAGGCGAGUCUCUGGACGACUCCUGACACUGAGGCACGAAAGCGUGGGGAGCAAACAGG
rnacentral:rRNA from 1 species